GCCGAUAUAUACAAUCCAAACUAAAACACAUAGAAUUAUCUGAUGCGCGUGUCUAGUGCUAGGUACAUUUGAACAUACAUACAAGAAUAUGCCGUUCUAGGUGUUGCAAUAAUGGUUUUAGUGAGGACAUAUGUCUAUCUACUUUCACGUAAUAUAUCACCCAGAAUUUUAUAACAAGUCAUUUCAAUGUGAAAUCCACCUCAAAUGACGAUAAACUUAUCUUCUUUGUACAAAUCAGGCGAUUCCCAC
rnacentral:lncRNA from 1 species